AGACGAGAGUAGCUUGCUACGAACUGUUUUAGCGGCGGACGGGUGAGUAACGCGUGAGCAACCUUUCCCAGACAGGGGAAUAACACACCGAAAGGUGUACUAAUACCGCAUAAGACCACGGUUUCACAUGGAACUGAGGUAAAAGAUUUAUCGGUUUGGGGUGGGCUCGCGUCCGAUUAGGUAGUUGGUGAGGUAACGGCCCACCAAGCCGACGAUCGGUAGCCGACCUGAGAGGGUGAUCGGCCACAUUGGGACUGAGACACGGCCCAAACUCCUACGGGAGGCAGCAGUGGGGAAUAUUGGGCAAUGGAGGAAACUCUGACCCAGCAACGCCGCGUGGAGGAAGAAGGUUUUCGGAUCGUAAACUCCUGUCCUUGGAGACGAGUAGAAGACGGUAUCCAAGGAGGAAGCCCCGGCUAACUACGUGCCAGCAGCCGCGGUAAUACGUAGGGGGCAAGCGUUGUCCGGAAUAAUUGGGCGUAAAGGGCGCGUAGGCGGCUCGGUAAGUCUGGAGUGAAAGUCCUGCUUUUAAGGUGGGAAUUGCUUUGGAUACUGUCGGGCUUGAGUGCAGGAGAGGUUAGUGGAAUUCCCAGUGUAGCGGUGAAAUGCGUAGAGAUUGGGAGGAACACCAGUGGCGAAGGCGACUAACUGGACUGUAACUGACGCUGAGGCGCGAAAGUGUGGGGAGCAAACAGGAUUAGAUACCCUGGUAGUCCACACUGUAAACGAUGAAUGCUAGGUGUAGGGGGUAUCGACCCCUUCUGUGCCGCAGUCAACACAAUAAGCA
rnacentral:rRNA from 1 species